rnacentral:rRNA from 1 species
UACGGGGGGGGCAAGCGUUGUUCGGAAUUACUGGGCGUAAAGGGCUCGUAGGCGGCCAACUAAGUCCGACGUGAAAUCCCCAGGCUUAACCUGGGAACUGCGUCGGAUACUGGAUGGCUUGAAUUCGGGAGAGGGAUGCAGAAUUCCAGGUGUAGCGGUGAAAUGCGCAGAUAUCAGGAAGAACACCAAUGGCGAAAGCAGCUCUCUGGGACGGUACUGACGCUGAGACGCGAAAGCGUGGGGAGCGAACAGG